AAGAAACUAUUUAAGUAUGUUUUGAACACAUACUCAUUUAUGAAAGCUUCCCCCAGCUAAUAAUGACUGCUUCUCUGACCUUAUUUCUAUAUAAUCUUACCACUGUAUCUAUGGAACCAGUACUUGGAGUGUUCCCUAUCUCUAUCCACCAAAAUAUGUUUUCUCUAGAUAUUUUCCAAGUCCUUCAGGUAUUCUAUGGGGUGCUUUUUCUGGAAAUAACCACAGACUGACCCUGGAGGAUCUAGCAACUUUCUAAAAUUUUCUAGGUUUUACAGGGCAAUUGUAUGCUUAUGUCUAGCAGUCUCCAAAAUACUUAAUUUCCUCUUUCCAUGUUAAAUUCAAGAAUGAUCUCAUGUUGAUAUGGGGGUUAUACUGUACUCACUUUUGAAGUAUUUGAAAUUAAUGUGUUGUUGAAGGCUUUCAUGGUCGGAAUCACUGGUUUGUUUUGAGUUUUCUGGGCUGUAUGGCUAUGUUCCAGAAGCAUUCUCUCCUGAAGUUUCGCUCACAUCUAUAGCAUUAUUUUAUCGUUUUAAUUUUAUAUUUUGUAUUAAUAUAUUUUUGUGUUUGUAUGUGUGUGCAAACCACUCAGCGAUUUUCAUAUCUCUAUCAAUGCAUAGUAAUCUAUGGAGCUGCGCUCUCUUCAGGAGAGAUAAAGUGGGGUAUAAACAAACUAACAAACAAACAAACAAAUAAAUAACAACAACCGGUUUUCAUGACUGCCCUGCUUAAUAUAUAUUUUAAUAUGUAUUAAAAUAUGGGGAAAUUAAAUAAAAUAUAAAAGGCCAGAUCCCUCUGUGACUAAUAUUAAUCAAAUCAGGUGUUAGACUGGAAUAAAUACAGUGUCUAAAGUUAUUUUUUUCCAUGUCAGGAGCGAAUUUGAGAAACUGCAAGUUGCUUCUGGUGUGAGAGAAUUGGCCGUCUGCAAAGACAUUGCCCAAGGAAUCCCCAGAUGUUUUUCAUGUUUUACCAUUUUUGUGGGAGGCUUCUCUCGUGUUCCUGCAUGGGGAGCUGGAGCUGACAGAGGGAGCUCAUCCUCACUCUCCCUGGAUUCGAACCAGCAACCUUCAGAUCAGCAGUCCUGCUGGCACAAGGGUUUAACCCAUUGUGCCAUUGGGGGCUCCUAGUUAUCUGGUUGAAAUUGUGUCAAACUGCAUUAAUUCUACAGAGUAGAUGCAUCCCAUACGUGUUGAAUGCAGCACUUCUCAUGUUAUGCCUUCUCUUGAACCCCAUUUGCUCCUUUUUUUGUUUUCUACCUUUAUCUGUUGUCCCUUCAAACAUCUCCCUGCAGUCCUGAGGACUAGAAGCAUGCUGUUUCAACAAUAAUUUACUCCUGAACACUACAGCUAUUUUGCCUCCCACCCCCUGGGAAUAUCUCUAAAGUUUUAAAGACACCACGUGUCUGUUUAGACCUGCAGCUCAGUUAGGUCAACAUACUGGGGUUUUAAGAUGAUUUUGGUGCCGUUAAUUUCAAAGGCAUUAAACGAGCUUAAAUCCGAGCACUUUUGUCUCCGUUUGGUUGUGGAUCGGGUUGCAAGAAACACACUCUGUAUUCGGCAAGGAUUUUCCGAGGCUCCGGCGAAGGAAUCUUGGGAUUCUCCAGAGCUGUUUCAUGGUCAGCCUCCGGUGAUCUGUAUGUGGGAAUGGAAACCAUUGAUAUGAACAAAAUAGUUUUUACUGGGACCCUUGACCACCUGGAGGAACCUUCCAAACCCUUCCUUGGGCAAGGAAAAUAGAGAUAACAUCAUAACAAUUAUUUCUCCCAGUCAUGUUCUUUCCUCACUUCAAAGUCUUCUUAUGACCCCCUGAUCUUCUAGUACCAGAAGAACAAGUUUCUGCAAAAUACAGGGAAUAAAGCCCAGAAAAUAUGCCAUCUGAAAACUUAAUAACCACUUUGGAGGUUAAGAUCAUCGGGGGAGGCCCUCUUCUUGGUCUCACCACGUUCACAAGCACAACUGGUAAAGAUGAGAGACAGGGCCUUCUCAGUGGUGGCCCCUCUUCUGUGGAACUCCCUCCCCAAUGAAAUCAGAACAGCCCCCUCCAUCCUGUCUUUUAAGAAAAAAAAUUAAGACAUGGAUAUGGGACCAUGCAUUUGAGCAAUAAUUACAGCAGUGUAAUAAUUGAGAACUUUUAAAGUGUUGACUAAUGGACUGAUUCUGGACUACGAUUUUGAACAUGUGAUUUUAAUAGCUGUUUUAAUAAUUUAUGUUUUAAUGUUUGAUUUUAAUUUGAAUAGUUAUUUAUGGAAUUUGUACGUUGGGCAUUGAAUUGCUUCCGGUUGUGAGGCCACCUUGAGCCCCCCUUUGGGGUGAGAAGGGUGGGAUAUAAAUAUGGGAAAUAAAAUAAAUAAACAAACAAAUCUUGUCUUGCAUUUGACCACAAAUUGUGGUGUUGGCAUAGGUUUUCAUGGAGGUUAGUUAUGUUAAACUUGAUAUCCUGAUGCAGUUGUUUUAACCUGUUUUUGGUCAUGGAUAUCACUGGGAAUCUGAUGAAAGCUGUGGAAUUGCAUUGAAACACAAUUUUCAAAGAAACAUGGAGAAUAAAAUAGCAACAAAUUCUUUUCUCUCUAGUUUGAUGGGCCUCUGAAACCCAUCCAUGGAAUGGUUCACAGAUUAAGAAUUGAACCUCCAAGCAAAGGAGCAUUGUAUCUCUCAUUUUCAGAUCCUGGGGACCAUGAACUGGAUUUCUGCUGCUCUUUGCAUGGCUUCUUGAUGACAUUUGACUGCUCAAAACGGGAAAUAUUGUUGGCUUUUUCAGUUUCAUAUUAGUGAGUCAGUGAAUCCAUGUGAAGUGUUGGGCCAAACAUUUGAGAAACUAUCCGAAGUGCUAAAGUCUGUUUUCCAAAUAGGUUUGGCAUCUUGGAUACCUUUUCCCCAGGAAAUGGCAUGAUGACCCCCACCUCCAAUCUUUUCCUUCUCCACAAUUUUCCAAAACCCAUGGGAAAGACGGAGAAGAAGAGAACAGGCAGCUUGCCACAGUGAAACUGGGAACCGAAAAGAACAAAGUUGUGCCGAGGACGAAUAAACAGAAGGGAAGGCACUGGCGGUUUGUAAGAGACCGAGAGGAAAAACUAAGAAGUAAUUUUCAUAAACUUUUAAGCAUAGCUUUAAAUAUCAGAAAAGCUUAAGCCGUCGCGCAACAAAGGCAAGUUCCCUUUGAAAGAGUUCCAGAAAACCAUGAAAUGCUGUUGAUAAGCCUGUGCCAAUUUGUGAAGCUGGCCACAAUCUCUGCCUCACGUUUCUUCUCCCCCCUUCUUUCCCCUCAUUCUCUCUCUCCUCUUUCCCCCCACUUUCUCAUAUCCCCCCGGCUUUAAUUUUCGUCUCUUGCUUCUUCUUCUUUUUUUCCUUUGCACAAAAUCUUACUGUUUUUUUUUUUAAGAGUCAGAAAGACCACGACGGCAGGAGUUAAUGCGGAUGAUGGAGCAGCCUUCUCUUCCUUCUACAAAGAGAAGGUUUUGGAAUCUCCAUCUAGGAUUCACUCGGUGGAAACCGUGCCCGGUGGGCAUGGGCAAAAGGCCAGAAAUAGAGACCGUGCUGCGAAAGCCUUUGUCCUGGGGUAGAUCAGACCACAAAUGGUGGCGGCCCUUUCAGCCAUCAAUUAAAUGGCUGUGCUCAGUCUUAAUUAUAAGAUACCUGGGGAUUACUGCUUUGUUAUUGGAUUUUAUUGGGAAAAUACUAUGCUGGAUAAGACAGUUGUGCAUUUCAGUGGAAAGAUUCAAUCACACAAACAUGUAGGUGAGUGCAGGCUGGCCGCAAGAUAUUCGGCUAGCUGAAACAGAGACACAAAUGGUGCCGCACACCUCCUUUUAAAGGCAAGUUACCUCUGUUUGAAUCCCAAAGUUAUUAUUCCAAUGAAUUCUACAAGCACUGUUUCUAUAUUUCAAAUAAUAAAGA